UGCCUUUGAUGACUUGCCAUGCUAAUACCGAAUCCUCAAAUAGAGGCAAAGGCUGCGUUCUGGGUUUUGAGGAAUCUAUCUGGCGCUGAGGCAG